ACAGCAGUAGCCGCGGGAAUACGGAGGGGGCUAGCGUUGUUCGGAAUUACUGGGCGUAAAGCGCACGUAGGCGGCUUGGUAAGUUAGAGGUGAAAGCCUGGAGCUCAACUCCAGAAUUGCCUUUAAGACUGCCGAGCUAGCAGGUGAGAGAGGUGAGUGGAAUUCCGAGUGUAGAGGUGAAAUUCGUAGAUAUUCGGAAGAACACCAGUGGCGAAGGCGGCUCACUGGCUCAUACUGGACGCUGAGGUGCGAAAGCGUGGGGAGCAAACAGGAUUAGAUACCCCAGUAGUCCCUGUCUCUUAUAC
rnacentral:rRNA from 1 species